UGGCGGCAACGCACGUGCACGUCGAUCGCAAACCAAUCCACACACCUGUGAACGUAUGGCCUCUCGGGUCCUUUUGGACUCGGGGGCAAACCCCAUUUUUACUCUGAUCGUAAAGGAAUGUCUUUGCCUAAAGCGCAAAAGCAAACAACUUUCAACAACGGAUCUCUUGGCUCUCGCAUCGAUGAAGAACGCAGCGAAAUGCGAUAAGUAAUGUGAAUUGCAGAAUUCAGUGAAUCAUCGAAUCUUUGAACGCACCUUGCACCCUUUGGUAUUCCGAAGGGUACGCCCGUUUGAGUGUCAUUGUAAUCUCACCCCCGGAAUCUUUUCUGGGGAGUGGACUUGGACGUUGCCGGGUCACGGCUCGUCUGGAAUGUCUCAGUGCUACCCCGCCCGUCGGCGUAUACAGUGUGAUAAGUAUCUUCACUGGUCAGCUUCCUCGGAGGCGCGCUCUCGGACGGAUCGGUGUGCUGCCAACCGUCUUCGGACAAUACUCUGACGAUUUGACCUCAAAU
rnacentral:rRNA from 1 species